rnacentral:tRNA from 1 species
AUUUAGUAUAGUUUAAUUAAAGAAUAAUAAUUUGUGGUAUUAUUGGUGAAUUUUAAUUCUCUAGAUC